UACGUAGGUGGCAAGCGUUGUCCGGAUUUAUUGGGCGUAAAGGGUACGUAGGCGGAUAAGCAAGUUAGUAGUGAAAUCCUAUAGCUCAACUAUAGUAAGCUUUUACAACUGCUCAUCUUGAGGUAUGGAAGGGAAAGUGGAAUUCCUAGUGUAGCGGUGAAAUGCGCAGAUAUUAGGAGGAAUACCGGUGGCGAAGGCGACUUUCUGGCCAUAAACUGACGCUGAGGUACGAAAGCGUGGGUAGCAAACAGA
rnacentral:rRNA from 1 species